rnacentral:rRNA from 1 species
AUUGAACGCUGGCGGCAGGCUUAACAUGUGCAAGUCGAGCGGAGAUGAGGUGCUUGCACCUUGUCUUAGCGGCGGACGGGUGAGUAAUGCUUAGGAAUCUGCCUAUUAGUGGGGGACAACAUUCCGAAAGGAAUGCUAAUACCGCAUACGUCCUACGGGAGAAAGCAGGGGAUCUUCGGACCUUGCGCUAAUAGAUGAGCCUAAGUCGGAUUAGCUAGUUGGUGGGGUAAAGGCCUACCAAGGCGACGAUCUGUAGCGGGUCUGAGAGGAUGAUCCGCCACACGGGGACUGGGACACGGCACAGACUCCAACGUGAAGCAGCAUUGGGGAAUAUUGGACAAUGGGGUGAACCCUGGUCCAGCCAUGCCGCGUGUGUGAAGAAGGCCUUAUGGUUGUAAAGCACUUUAAGCGAGGAGGAGGCUACUGAGACUAACACUCUUGGAUAGUGGACGUUACUCGCAGAAUAAGCACCGGCUAACUCUGUGCCAGCCGCCGCCGUAAUAC